rnacentral:misc_RNA from 1 species
GUGGUGGUGGUAACGUUACUGGUGGAAACGUUGAUGAAAGUGGUGCUGGGAAUUAUGCUUUUGCUCGUGGCAGUGGUGGCAGUGAUAAUUUUGGUAGCAGCAAUAUGGGUGGCGGGUAUGAUGGAAAUGGUGGGUUGGGAUUUGGUGGCGGUGAUGAUCAAUUUGGUGGCCGUGAAGGUGGCAGCAUGGAUGAUGCAGCUGGAGGAUAUGAUCAAGAUAAACUGUUGGAAGGAAAUUUCAGGGAUGAUGAUGAUGAUGCUGGUGACUUGGCCAAAAAGGUGUGAGCGUUUGUCUUCUAUGUUGGAAGCAAUUGAACUUGCUUCUUCUCCAUAUUUAAAAUAGACAGGCAUUUUU